UAAAAGGGGUGCUGUUUAUCGGCUGAGACAACGGUAUCGUUGAACCCUGGAACCUGAUCCGGAUAAUGCCGGCGGAGGAAAAUGGAC
rnacentral:ncRNA from 1 species